CUUUUUUUUCCCCCUAGAUUCCUCCAAAUAAAAUAGAUUAUGAGUAUAGUGAACUGAUUUUAUAUCAAAAUCAAGUGAUGAGAGAAGCAGAUUUGUUUCAGGAGUCUCUAGAACAUAUAGAGACAUACGAAAAGCAAAUAUGUGAUAAACUAAUAGUAGAAGAAAUCAAAGGAGAAAUGCUAUUGAAGUUAGGAAGACUAAAAGAAGCUGGUGAGGUAUACAAAGAGUUAAUCGAACGUAAUGCAGAAAACUGGUAUUAUUAUGAAGGCCUGGAAAAGUCCCUACAACCUAGUGGUCUUAGGACUAUUUCCUCCCCCAUGGCACUUUAGAAGAGAGGCUUCAGAUUUAUGAAGAAGUUAGUAAAAGGCAUCCCAGAGCAGUUUCACCUAGAAGAUUACCUUUAAACUUUGUUUCAGGUGAAAAAUUUAGAGAACUAUUGGAUAAAUUCCUGAGGGUUAACUUCAGUAAAGGCUGCCCACCCUUGUUUACCACUUUGAAAUCUUUAUAUUACAAUCCAGAAAAGGUAAAAUUUAGUACUUACUUUGCUUUAAUGAAGUCUUCUGUAUUGAAUUUCUAAAAGAUAAUCUAAAUGUUUAUUUUUAGACUUCACUGUUUCUUACAAACAACCUCUGCUGAACAUUUUUCUCCCCAAUAUGUUGUUUUGUCAUAUGUGAAUCAUCAUUUGGUGAUGCUUAAUCUGUGACAAGAUUUUUACUUUUCUUCUGUGGAUAAUUGAUUUCAAAAUACUUGAAGCCUGGUUGCAAGAUGCACUGAUCUUUAUUCAUUUUUUAUUUUUUGAAGGUCAAAGGUAAUCAGUAAAUAUGUGUACUCUAAGUGCAAGUGUGUCAGGAUUCAUUCAGCUUAUGGUUUAUGAUGUCACCAGAAGUAAUGAUUUUAAAAUAUCGUACGGAUGGCUAAUAUUCUACAUAUAUUUCUGAGUUGCAUCAAUGCAAUUGUUACUAUUUACCACAAAGGCUUAUUUCUCAUUUCAGUCUCUGGAUAAUCUUAGUGUUCAAUUUUUACACUUUUAAAUUCUCCUAGAUUUGGAAAAAUUGUAUCACACUGGAACUAUUAUUUCAGACUGAGUUAUUUGUCCCAAGCUUUCAAAAGGUGCAGUAAAUGCUUCAAAUUAAGGUUAAUAAAAUGUGCAGCAAAUAAAAGAAUUGAUUCAGAUGUUCAGUUUUUGCUACUGGCAAUAAGAACACUUGGUAUUCCAG